rnacentral:lncRNA from 1 species
AUGACUUUAUUUGAGAUUGUGUUGGGUUCUAGCACUAAUUCCAUGUCCUAAUUCAUGUAGCGCGUCUCUACGCCACACUCUACAUCCUAUUUCUAGUGGUCUUCCCACCAUUCUUUCUUAAAUUUGAUUCACAUUCAAUCGUAAGCUUAAACUUUUCAUUCUUAUCCUUCUUGCCUAUAUUAAUCCAAUCCUUUAAGAAUCGUUAGACCCCUUUUUGCUAGCGUGACUGGACAUAAGUGAGAUGAUUCUCGUGUUUUUCUCGAGCUUCGGUCAAUUCAUGACCAUUUCUUAAUAUAUCAUUUCCAUUUGUUCGUUCACUAUAUUUGGUGUUAAUUCACCUACGUUCUCUAGCAUGUCCCUUACUAACGAGUAUCCUACAUUACACGUUGCAUUUCUUACGUAAUAUUUUCAAAGUUUGUAAGGAAUUAUUAUUUACUGUCUUCUACAAUAUAACCUUAUAAGGUCAACCACCACCCAAUACUCUUUUUUUUUUAUAUAAGUAUUUCCGUACAUGUUGCACUUACUCUCAAUUCGAACAUCUUUACAAAAUGUCUUUAACUGACAUCCCAACUAAUAUUCCUCCCAUACCUUUCAUCAACAUUACCAAGUUCUCAUUUCCGCCUUAAAAUUUCUCAACUAAAAUUUAUGACCGAUUUACCCUUGUAAUGAGGUCUUAUCGGUUUAACAUUAUGCCAACAAUCUCAACAAACGUACCAUAACCUUUCUCAUUUAUUUAUACAUUCCGCUUUGAUUUCGAAUACUCAAACACGUAUACACCUUCAUGUAGAUGAAUUCGAAGCGAUUGCGAAAUCACUUACCUUUAGCGUUCAUGUUCAUGCUUGCCUCAUUGCUUCCUCUUACUCCGUUUGCCAUCCAUACUUGAAUCAACUCACAAGACUUCCAUCCUUACAUAUUAAUAUAUUAUUACAUUCAUAACACUGUUAGCUUAUGUGAGCAUACAUACAAUUAUUCAUUUUCCUUCUAUUCAUAAGUUAGUUGACUUUCGUUAGUCAAAUUUCGUAAAAACAAGGCAAUUAUUAUUAGUCAUCUCACUUCCAAUCCAUACAACUAAACUAUCGUCAAGCAUAACACGUAAAUCACUUAAUACUUAACAUAUCAACUCUUUACUUUAGCUUUUGUGUCUAAUGACCAUUUCAUAAUACUCCUAUACUGUUGACUUUUAGAUAGUCAGCUGUCUUGCUUACAUACUUCAAACUUUUGAACAUGUAAAACAUGAUAGGCCGUAAUACUAAUAUUCUACGUAUUUCAUACCUAUAAUUUACGUAAUCCCCCAAACAAUACACAUAUGUACAUUCACCUUCACGUAUUUUCGCAUACUAAUGCUUCAUGAUUCUACAAAUGGUAAUUACCAUUCAAAUUAACUAUAUAACAUAAUUCCAACGUAUCUUUUACUAUUAAGCUCAUAUGAUUCGCGUUUAGCACAUAUUCGCCCCUUAAUCGUAAUAUGGCAAAUUAUUAAUUACACAUAAGCAUCACACCAUUCAGGUACAAGGUACACGCCUCUAAUGCAUAAUUCUGAUCAAAGCAUACAUUCAUCCGAAUUUUCAUAAAUUUUUACUUUAUCGCCUAACGGUCUACAUAACCUUACAUAACUUAUUAUAUCUUCUAUUAACUUGCCAGGAGCAUAAAACGGGCAUUUCUGAGAAGUAUGGUAACUUAAAUUAUAGUUCACAAGCUUUCAAUACAUCAUAGUUUAUUAGUCCGUAUUUACUUCAUUCGCAUCCUCACAUUUAAAACUUUACUCAUUUUUCAUUCAUUUUUCUUUUUAGCAUUCGUUUGUGUCAUUCGACACAUUACUUUCGACCCUUAAAAUUUUCUUUCCAUCGUAACCACUAAUCGUGGUUACAUAUAUCUUAUUAGGCCUUAUAUAGACCCUACACGAACAUUUAAUAGGCCUUAAAACACUUUGGAACUCAAAAUACGAAAACCAAA